UUAAUUUACCUAGUUUUUACUUUUUUAGUUCAUAAUGUUAUGUUCAUUAUCAACCCCAGGCAGGUUUGCUGAGCCAAAUAUAGCUCUUAUCAGCAUACACAGCAUGACCGUGCAAUUUGAAAAUGUGUUUCAGAUGUCUCCCAAAGCGUAGAGUACAUUAUCACACAUGUGAAGUAUAACUGAAUGUGUCAAAAUGCUGAUGAUGAUAGACAUGUCCCCAAACCACUAGUGCCAACAUCACCAUUGAGAAGAGAGAGCGGCGGUUGGAUUUCAUUGUGACCUCAGCUAACUCUUAUACCCUUCUUUCCAUCCUGGUUAUCAAAUCCGCUCAGCGCCAUGAGUUCUGCAAGACGGAAAUAAAUAAAGAUGUGUUUACAAAGGAUGCGUCUUUGCAAUAUCUAAGAGAGGGAAAUGGACAUACUUUGAGAGGAUGUAUUGGAGAACAGCACUUGUGAUCUUGGCCUUUCUUACUCAUGCCAUUACAGAAAUGCGAGUGACUGGUCAAACAUUGGAUGUGUGUGCCACCUGUCACCCUAACGCCACCUGUGAGGAGAAGGUGGAUGGUACCGGCAAAGCCUGUAACUGCAUGUAUGGCUUUGUUGGUAAUGGAAGAACUUACUGUCAAGACAAAAAUGAAUGUCAGAUAGGAGCCAAUAAGAUCUGUGGGCAGCAUACUGCCUGCCAUAACACCUAUGGAAGCUUCUACUGCACCUGCCUGGCAGGAUACAGCCCUUCCAACAACAUGGCCAUCUUCAUCCCCAAUGAUGGAACCCGCUGUCAGGACAUUAAUGAGUGUAGAGUCCAAGGGAUCUGUGGUGAGGGGGGUAAGUGCACAAACAUGCAGGGGUAUUUUAACUGCCUCUGCCAAGUGGGAUACCAGGUUCACAAUGGAGCAGAGCCAUUCCACCCACACCAGGACAAGGCCUUGUGCAAAGGUAAAUAACACCAACCACUUGGGCUCAGUAUUGUAAGACUUUUCAGUUAAAUUAUAGGUACAAUUCUAAGAUAAUGGAUAAUAAUCAGAGAGCUGUAUGCUUCAAAAAUGCAUGUUUCAGAAUCUCUUUGCCUGCUGCCUUAUACUAUACUGUAGCCACUGCAAUAAUUUCAUGAUUUAUAGAAAAUUUGCAGAAUGACAGUAGUGUUAUCAAAAACGAUGGUAUCUGUAGUGUUGUCCUUUUCUCCAUCUGUAGCCAUUGAUUGUGGGCAGCCUCCCUCGGCUCUGAAUGCAGUCCAGCUGUCAGCCACAGGAACACAUUACGGCAGCGUCGCUAAAUUUGGCUGCUCUGAGGGAUUCUUCUGGAAAAGCGGGGAGAACUCCUCCGUUUGUGGGGCAGAAAGUGUGUGGAAGGGCCCAAGUCUUGUUUGUGAAGGUAAAAUUAAUGACAUUUUCCCUCCUAGCAUUGUUUCAUUUAGAUUUUUGCAUUCAUUCAUGUAUUUAACAUGUGGAUGGAUGAGUAUUUUGUUUGUAGAGAAAAAUGUUAUCAUGUACUGCGUCUAGGAAUAGUCACUGGUCAAUGUCAUUGCUUUGCCUAUCAGAGGUUGACUGUGGCUUGCCCCCUGCCCUCCCUCACUCAGUAAUGUUGUGGGAUCAGAGCACCAGGAUAGGCUCUGAGGUGGUUUAUCAGUGUAACUCUGGAUAUUACAAUGUGGGAGAGGGAAAUGUAUCAAUAUGCACUGCCAAUGGACAGUGGGACAAGUCAGCUUUGCUAUGUGCAGGUAAAAUAAAUCUUCUCUCUCAACAUUACCAUCUGGAAUCACUACCUUACAUCCAUAACUAACUCAGAACUGAAUUAACCAAGUGUUUUAACAAAUACCUCCUAGGCCAUGUUGACCAUUCCAUUAAUUAUAUUGUGUGUCCAAAAUAUCAGACAUGAAUGUUUGCCUGAUGGAAAUUGCACACUGUUGUAAUGCUUUCUCUUUGUAGAGAUAACGUGUGGUGAUCCCCCUAUACUGCCCCACACUGGGCAGGUGUGGAAUGGCAGCACAAACCCUGGCAGCACUGUGCUGUUUUACUGUAAAGGAGGGUUUUAUAGAGAGGGAGGGGGGAAUAUUUCCCAAUGCACUAGAGAUGGUUACUGGACAAAGGCAACGUUGUCAUGUAAAGGUAACAGUUUUGCCACGUAAUACUUUCUCACAUAUUCUCUUGUGAAACCUCUUUUGAGAUUUUCUGUAAUCUAUAUGUCAUGUAGGAAUCAUAUCAGAGAGGCCAAAUCUACUACCUAUACAAAUAUCCUGGUGAAUAAUCUGUUAUCUCAACCAUUCUCUCAUUCUCUGUGUAGAGGUUGACUGUAGUUCUCCCCCUGCCCUCCCUCACUCAGUAAUGUUGUGGGAUCAGAGCACCAGGAUAGGCUCUGAGGUGGUUUAUCAGUGUAACUCUGGAUAUUACAAUGUGGGAGAGGGAAAUGUAUCAGUAUGCACUGCCAAUGGACAGUGGGACCAGACAUCUUUUAUAUGUGAAGGUAAAAUAAAUCUUCCCUCACAACAUUACCACCUGCAAUCAAUACCUUACAAGUUAUCCAUAACUAACCCAUAACUCAAUUACCCAAGUGCUUUAACAAAUACCUCAGAGGUCAUGUUGAUCAUACCAUGGAACAAUAUUGUGUGUGCAAAAUGUAAGAUAUUAAUGUCUGCUUGAUGGAAAUGUGCAGAAAUUGCACACUGUUGUAAUGCUUUCUCUUUGUAGAGAUAACGUGUGGUGAUCCCCCUAUACUGCCACACACUGGACAGGUGUGGAAUGGCAGCACAAACCCUGGCAGCACUGUGCUGUUAUACUGUAAAGAGGGAUUUCAUAGAGAGGGAGGAGGUAAUAUUUCCUACUGUACAGAAAAUGGUUUCUGGACAAAAACAACAUUAUCAUGCAAAGGUAACUGAACAUUUCUUACGUACACUGACAGAGAUGAAAUGAUGAGAAAUACAUGUUUUUUAGCCCCCUGAUACAGUAGUAGAAACAAAGCAUUAUUGAUACAUAGCUACAUGUCUUCAUAAGAUAAGACCUGUGGUUGAAAUGAAAGUGUUGAAAGUCAAAUCUAAAUGUUCCUUAUGCUUUACAUCCAGGAUACACAUAAUCAUUUCCAUACUGCUUUCCCCCUUAGAAAUAAUGUGUGGCGGUCCCCCUAUACUGCCCCACACUGGACAGGUGUGGAAUGGCAGCACAAACCCUGGCAGCACUGUUCUGUUUUACUGUAAAGAGGGAUUUCAUAGAGAGCGAGGGGGGGAUAUUUCCCAAUGCACUAAAGACGGUAACUGGACAAAGGCAACAUUGUCAUGUAAAGGUAAUGCAUAUGACUUUUCCACAUGUUCUCUAGUUCAACCUCCUUUGAGAUUUUGUGUAAUGUAUGUAUGAAUCAUAUCAGUGAGGCCAAAUCUCCUUCCUAUACAAAUAUCCUGGUGAACAAUCUGUUAUCUCAACCAUUCUCUCAUUCUCUCUAGAGGUUGACUGUGGUUCUCCCCCUGCCCUCCCUCCCUCCGUAAUGUUGUGAGAUCAGAGCACCUGGAUAAUUAAAUGAUUUAUAGAAAAUUUGCAGAAUGACAGUAGUGUUAUCAAAAACGAUGGUAUCUGUAGUGUUGUCCUUUUCUCCAUCUGUAGCCAUUGAUUGUGGGCAGUCUCCCUCGGCUCUGAAUGCAGUCCAGCUGUCAGCCACUGGAACACAUUACGGCAGCGUCGCUAAAUUUGGCUGCUCUGAGGGAUUCUUCUGGAAAAGCGGGGAGAACUCCUCCAUUUGUGGGGCAGAAAGUGUGUGGAAGGGCCCAAGUCUUGUUUGUGAAGCUACAUGUGGACCGGCCCCUGCUCUGGCCAACACAGAGGUGGUGCUGCAGAACACAAGUGUUGUGUUCCAUCGUUGUCUGGAAGGAUUCCACAGCUGGAGAGGAAGAAACACCUCUGUUUGUGACAUCACUGGGAAGUGGCAAGCUGCCACAAUGCGAUGCAGAGAAAUCAAGCCUGCCAUCAGCGACUUGGUUGUCUUUAAUGAAAAAUGUUUGCGUUGGAAAGCAGACAAGUAUGAAGAAGACACAGAGAAUUACAGAGUAGUAUUUGUGGGAUUCAGGGCCUAUCAAAGGUCAUUCCAUGACAAGAGGAAGAAGCUCCUCAGCUCCACUUCAGACCACCCUGAGAUCUGCCUGAACCUGCUGCCUGUUACCAACUACACCAUCAGCAUCACUGCACUGUCUGCCAGGUUCACCUCCACACUCACAACAAACACCAGCCUACAAGUGCCUCAAGCCCCAGAGAUUUUAUACAGAGAAAUUGAGGCUCCAUUGCCCACUUUGUGGCUACGCAGAUCAGCUAACACUCUGGACCCAAUUAGACUUCUCCAGUCAGAGGAAGCCCCAUGGACAGUACAUCACUGCCCAGCUCCAUCUGAGGGAUAUAGGGAAAGAGAUUAACCUGACUUUGGGCGAUGGACACUACUAUGGAGGGUUCUACAAUGCUCCUUUACAGAACGGCAGAGACUAUUACAUCAUAUUACGAGCUGUCAGUCAAUGGGGAGGGGCAUUCAAGCACUCUUGUGUUAUUUGGGCAAAAGUGAGAGAUAUAUCCUACAUAAUGAAGGUUUCAUCGCUUUUUGCUGGGGGAUCAAUUGGAGUCUUUGCUUUGGCCAUUUUUCUGGGACACUGUUACACCUGGUUUUGUAAGAAGACAUGACAGUCAUCCUGAGGACUGACUUUUUAAGUUGGGUCACACUUGGUUUAUAUUAGCAUAAUGUUCAACGACAUUUACCUGUAAUAUUGUAACUGUGUAAAAAUGUGUUUUGUAUUGUAGUUCUCUGUACUAAAAUAAAGGUAAAAAAUGUUUUGUCA